rnacentral:rRNA from 1 species
UGGGGAAUUUUGGACAAUGGGCGAAAGCCUGAUCCAGCAAUGCCGCGUGUGUGAAGAAGGCCUUCGGGUUGUAAAGCACUUUUGUCCGGAAAGAAAUCCUUGGCUCUAAUACAGUCGGGGGAUGACGGUACCGGAAGAAUAAGCACCGGCUAACUACGUGCCAGCAGCCGCGGUAAUACGUAGGGUGCAAGCGUUAAUCGGAAUUACUGGGCGUAAAGCGUGCGCAGGCGGUUUGCUAAGACCGAUGUGAAAUCCCCGGGCUCAACCUGGGAACUGCAUUGGUGACUGGCAGGCUAGAGUAUGGCAGAGGGGGGUAGAAUUCCACGUGUAGCAGUGAAAUGCGUAGAGAUGUGGAGGAAUACCGAUGGCGAAGGCAGCCCCCUGGGCCAAUACUGACGCUCAUGCACGAAAGCGUGGGGAGCAAACAGGAUUAGAUACCCUAGGUAGUCCACGCCCUAAACGAUGUCAACUAGUUGUUGGGGAUUCAUUUCCUUAGUAACGUAGCUAACGCGUGAAGUUGACCGCCUGGGGAGUACGGUCGCAAGAUUAAAACUUAAAGGAAUUGACGGGGUCAUAGCUGUUUCCU